rnacentral:rRNA from 1 species
UACGAAGGGUGCAAGCGUUACUCGGAAUCACUGGGCGUAAAGCGUGCGUAGGCGGUUCGUUAAGUCUGUUGUGAAAGCCCUGGGCUCAACCUGGGAACUGCAGUGGAUACUGGCGAGCUAGAGUACGGUAGAGGAAGGUGGAAUUCCCAGUGUAGCGGUGAAAUGCGUGGAGAUCGGGAGGAACACCAGUGGCGAAGGCGGCCUUCUGGACCAGUACUGACGCUGAGGCACGAAAGCGUGGGGAGCAAACAGG